rnacentral:rRNA from 1 species
GAUGAACGCUGGCGGCGUGCCUAAUACAUGCAAGUCGAGCGAACAGAUGAGGAGCUUGCUCCUCUGACGUUAGCGGCGGACGGGUGAGUAACACGUGGAUAACCUACCUAUAAGACUGGGAUAACUUCGGGAAACCGGAGCUAAUACCGGAUAAUAUAUUGAACCGCAUGGUUCAAUAGUGAAAGACGGUUUUGCUGUCACUUAUAGAUGGAUCCGCGCCGCAUUAGCUAGUUGGUAAGGUAACGGCUUACCAAGGCAACGAUGCGUAGCCGACCUGAGAGGGUGAUCGGCCACACUGGAACUGAGACACGGUCCAGACUCCUACGGGAGGCAGCAGUAGGGAAUCUUCCGCAAUGGGCGAAAGCCUGACGGAGCAACGCCGCGUGAGUGAUGAAGGUCUUCGGAUCGUAAAACUCUGUUAUUAGGGAAGAACAAAUGUGUAAGUAACUAUGCACGUCUUGACGGUACCUAAUCAGAAAGCCACGGCUAACUACGUU